rnacentral:rRNA from 1 species
CCAGGCGUCGAGUGGCGGACGGGUGAGUAACGCGUAGGAAUCUGCCAGAUAGUGGGGGAUAGCCCGGAGAAAUCCGGAUUAAUACCGCAUAAUCUCCAUGGAGUAAAGAGGGCCUCUAUUUAUAAGCUUUCGCUAUCUGAUGAGCCUGCGUAAGAUUAGCUAGUUGGUGGGGUAAUGGCCUACCAAGGCGACGAUCUUUAGCUGGUCUGAGAGGAUGAUCAGCCACACUGGGACUGAGACACGGCCCAGACUCCUACGGGAGGCAGCAGUGGGGAAUAUUGGACAAUGGGGGCAACCCUGAUCCAGCAAUACCGCGUGUGUGAAGAAGGCCUGAGGGUUGUAAAGCACUUUCAAUUGUGAAGAAAAGUUAAUAGUUAAUACCUAUUAGCCUUGACGUUAACUUUAGAAGAAGCACCGGCUAACUCCGUGCCAGCAGCCGCGGUAAUACGGAGGGUGCAAGCGUUAAUCGGAAUUACUGGGCGUAAAGCGUGCGUAGGCGGUUGACUAAGUCAGAUGUGAAAGCCCCGGGCUUAACCUGGGAACUGCAUUUGAAACUGGUCAACUAGAGUAUGGUAGAGGAAAGUGGAAUUUCUGGUGUAGCGGUGAAAUGCGUAGAUAUCAGAAGGAACAUCGAUGGCGAAGGCAGCUUUCUGGACCAAUACUGACGCUGAGGUACGAAAGCGUGGGUAGCAAACAGGAUUAGAUACCCUGGUAGUCCACGCCGUAAACGAUGAUAACUAGCCGUUGGGAGGGUUUACCUCUUAGUGGCGAAGCUAACGCGUUAAGUUAUCCGCCUGGGGAGUACGGCCGCAAGGCUAAAACUCAAAGGAAUUGACGGGGGACCCGCACAAGCGGGGGGAGCAUGUGGUUUAAUUCGAUGCAACGCGGAAGAACCUUACCUGGGUCUUGACAUACAGAAGAACUU